GCCUCUAUGGCACAGGGGUAAUGCGUGUCACUCGUACGGAGUUGAAUCCUAUGAUGGUAUGACAAGAUCCGCGGUUCGAUUCCGCGUGGAGGCA
rnacentral:tRNA from 1 species